rnacentral:rRNA from 1 species
GACGAACGCUGGCGGCGUGCCUAAUACAUGCAAGUCGAGCGAAGCGGCGGAUGGGUGAGUAACGCGUGGGUAACCUGCCCUUAAGUCUGGGAUACCAUUUGGAAACAGAUGCUAAUACCGGAUCCUAAAGGAUGGACCUGCGAUGCAUUAGCUAGUUGGUAAGGUAACGGCUAACCAAGGCGAUAAUGCAUAGCGGAGUGAGUGGACGGAGCGGACACCUGGGGACUGCGAAACGGCCCAAACUCCUACGGGAGGCAGCAGUAGGGAAUCUUCCACAAUGGACGAACGUCGGAUGGGGCAACGCCGCGUGAGUGAAGAAGGUUUUCGGAUCGUAAAGCUCUGUUGUUGGUGAAGCGGUAAUCAACCAGAAAGGCACGGCUAACUACGUGCCAGCCGCCGCGGUAAUAC